UCCCAGCCUCCUGCGUGUCCAUCACCACCACCGGCACGGCGGGCCCGUUGGCCGCCGCGGGCGCCUGCGUCGCGGGCGGGGCAGCCUCGACCACGGAGCUCCUAGUGCGGCCGCCAUCCAUGGAUGACGACGAGGAAGACGAAGACGACGUGCUGCCGCCGCCAGUCCGCAUCCGCUUGGGCUCCCGCGUGGAGUCCGUGGAGGACGGGUCGGCCGACGCCACCGCCACCGGCGAGGGGAUCGGCUUCAGGGCGUAGGUGCUGCUGGACGAGUCGACGGCGGGCGGGAGAUCGAAGUAGCCAGCACCGGCGGCGGCGCCACUUGUGACGGUGGACGAGGUGGACGCGAGCCUCGGGGCCGGCGGCGUCGUCGCGGGCGGGAGCGGCGGUGGGGGCGCGUUGAGCUCGGACAGCAUGCUCUCGAGCCAGGACGACAGGUCGGAGGGAUUGUAGUGCACGGUGUCCGUGGCGAGGUGCGAGAUGAAGCCGUCAUCAGCGGUAGCGCCGGCGCCGCCAACGCCGCCCAUCCCCAUGGCCAUCUCGAGCUGCUCCAGCUUCUGUGCGACGUCCGCCAUAUCCGACGAACGCACCUUGUAG
rnacentral:lncRNA from 1 species